CCCUUUUCUCUCUAGGCUGUAGGUAGUCAAUGUCUUAGUAAUUACUGAGUCAUGUUGAUCAAAGUUCAGCUGAAACUUUCCUGAUGACUAAGCAUACACAGCCUUGCCAGAGGACAAGCCAGGGUGUUUAUACAAAAUGUCGGCCUUUUUCCAAGCUGCUAAGUCGUGUUUGACUCUUUGUGACUCCAUGGACUGCAUCUUGCCAGGCUCCUCCGUCCAUGGCAUUUCCCAGGCAAGAAUACUGGAGUGGGUUGCCAUUUCCUUCUCCAAAACUACCCAAAAGUAGAACUUCAGAACUGUCUGUUCCCACUGUUUGCAAUCUCUCUUCUCCCUGAAACCCACACCAGUCAAGACUUCACCACCACUCCACCAAAACUGCUCAAAUCACCAAGGACUCCACAGGGCUCAGCUCCAUCAGGCAGUGCCUGGACCUCAUCUGAUGGCUGUCUCAGCACCUGUUCUCUCUGUGUGUGCCUGCAGGAUCCACAGCACACUGUGCUCCUAAAGAAUGGAUGGAGUUCUGGUUUGAUGAAAUUCAAUGUGUGGGAUAUGAAUGAACCAAUAGCCAAAAGUACGUCUUAGUACUUAGAGCGACUCACCCACCUGCCUUCUCUGAGUUAACGAUGAUUGAUGAC
ensembl:lncRNA